rnacentral:rRNA from 1 species
GAUGAACGCUGGCGGCGUGCCUAAUACAUGCCAGUCGAGCGAACAGACGAGGAGCUUGCUCCUCUGACGUUAGCGGCGGACGGGUGAGUAACACGUGGAUAACCUACCUAUAAGACUGGGAUAACUUCGGGAAACCGGAGCUAAUACCGGAUAAUAUAUUGAACCGCAUGGUUCAAUAGUGAAAGACGGUUUUGCUGUCACUUAUAGAUGGAUCCGCGCCGCAUUAGCUAGUUGGUAAGGUAACGGCUUACCAAGGCAACGAUGCGUAGCCGACCUGAGAGGGUGAUCGGCCACACUGGAACUGAGACACGGUCCAGACUCCUACGGGAGGCAGCAGUAGGGAAUCGUCCGCAAUGGGCGAAAGCCUGACGGAGCAACGCCGCGUGAGUGAUGAAGGUCUUCGGAUCGUAAAACUCUGUUAUUAGGGAAGAACAAAUGUGUAAGUAACUAUGCACGUCUUGACGGUACCUAAUCAGAAAGCCACGGCUAACUACGUG